AGGUUAAAUAAGGUUGCGUUUUGGAACACCAUUAUAGCGUCCCGCGCAUCUCAUGUAGAGACAAACGAAAGAGGUAUGAUACCGGUAUUACUAAUUUUUCUGAUACAAAACGAUAUAAAAUAAUUAUUCUGGCCACAUCAUGAAGCUAGUAAGAUUUUUGAUGAAACUCAGUCAUGAGACUGUAACGAUAGAAUUAAAAAAUGGAACUCAAGUACAUGGUACAAUUACAGGUGUAGAUGUAGCAAUGAAUACCCAUUUAAAAACAGUAAAGAUGAUAAUUAAGAAUAGAGAUCCUGUACAGUUGGAUACUUUAAGUUUACGAGGGAAUAAUAUACGGUAUUAUAUUCUACCUGAAUCUCUUACGUUGGAGACAUUACUUAUUGACGACACACCAAAGGCAAAAGCUAAAAAGAAAGAAGCUGCAAGAGGAGCAGCACGUGGAAGGGGCCGUGGUGGUCGUGGUGCAAGAGGUGGUAGAGGAGGUAGAGGAAGAGGACGAGGCAGACGAUAGUAGUUUAAAAUUUCUUAAGUAUUUUCUACCUGUGGACAAUUGAGAAAAAAUGGAAAUACUUACCUUCAUACGAUAUAAGAAAUAUGAGUGAUUAAUAAAAUCUUUUGCACUGCGAUUAUUUUCAAUUAAAAUUAUAGAUUUGAUAGUAUUAAUAUAGAAAAGCAGUACAAUUUUAUUUCUAGCAUAACCAGUACAAAAAUAAAAAUUGAUUCUUUGAUUAAAUAUAAGUGAGAUGUACAACUUUACAAUCUUAUAUGUAUGUGAUAUCAUCAAAAAGGAUUGUAGUUGGAUGUAUUCAAUUAAUUAUGCGAUGUUGUCGUAAUAAUCUCGAUGUUGACGACGUAGACGAUAUGUCCGAAUAUGACGUUCAUGAUGUCCCUGUGCAUUUCCAACCGCAAAUCUUUCCUAUGGCUUUGCAAGAACGACAAGAGGUCUUUCAACAUAGACCAGAUGCACCAGGAACGAGAAGACGUUCACCACCAGAAAUUGUUUCAAAGAUGAUUCAGGCUUUGGAAGAAUUAACUGAAACAAAAUCAUUGCCCGCCAUCGACAUGGUGCGCGGUUGUCAUCGACUUACAUUCGAAUCUUCUUUUCGACUGGUAAACGAAGAAAAUAGUUAAUAUUUAAUAUAACAACGGUGCGUAAAGAUCAUCGUGCGUUAAUAAUAUUCGAUGUUGAAGAUAAUUAUCAUUUUAUGCGAAACAAAAUAUUUAAAUAUUAUUUUCUUAUCUUUUCGUUUGUUCUUACGAAUUGUCGACGUCUUAUUAUUACUUUUCUUUUUUUUUUUCUUAACUUAACAAUUUCUAUCAGUUUUAAAGUCUAACAAUGUUUUGCAUAAAUAAAAAUAAAAUUACAUUUUUAAUGUUUAACCGAUUAACCGAUCAGCAAAAUUAUGGUACAGGAAUUAUGUAGCGGAUAAAAGUUCAAGGCGAUUUUUUUCAUGAAUUAUCGCAUUAUGUUUCAAAUAUCCGCAAGGUAUUAAGUCAUAAGGGUCAUAAAAUCAUACACGAAAAGUGUACAUAUAUAUCCUUUCAUCGAUUUACUUUUAUACGCGGUAAAUAAUCCCUCCGUUUUUAUGCGGAUUUAUACUCUGUAUCAAUUUACGAGAUCUCAUUUUACGCUAUGAGAAAAUAUAUUUUUCUAUAAUCUUUAAUGAUUAAGCAAAUUUUCAAAUAUAUCUAGCGAUGAAGAUAAUGAUUUUGUACAAAUUAAAAAGAAAAGAUUGAUUGUUAUAGAUUACGGUAUCGGCAUAGAUAACGAAUAAAAUUUAUUUUUAUUUUUAUGAAUUUUUAUUAUUAGUUCUUUUUUUUUUUUUUUUAUAUAUAUAUAAAAAUAUGCGAAAUAAAUACUUCUGUAACUUUUGUCGGCAUUUUUCUUUAGUAUUUUUUUUCGUAUUGACGGACUCUUCCGCGGUUUCCUUCCGCGUUAAGAAAAAAAAAGAAAAAAAAAAAAAAAAGAAGAAAAAAACGCGUGGAACAAACAAUCCGCAUAAAUCGAAAAACGGAUGUAUAAUUAAAAGAAUAUUCUAUUAAUCGCUGAAAAGAUCAUCGUUUUAAACUUUUGUCCUCUACUGUAUAUUAUCAAAAUUAUUAUUAUCUCGUUACGAAGCUUAAUGAAUGAAUCAUAUAUUUUUUCCAAAUGUUUACAUUUGUUCAUUUAUUACAUCAAAAUGAUCGUUUUAUUUGUGUAAAAGUAUAUAAUAAUAUAUGGAGAGGAUAGUUUGCGUUAGAAGGGAAUAUUCAUCAAUACACAUUUAUAGUUACUUGUUAAUUAUUUGUGGUCGUAUACCCUUAGGACAUGACAGUUAUCUAAUCCUUUCACAUUCGUCGUUCUAUUUCACUUUCAAGUUGGUAAAAGAAUUCUUGAGGUUGAUCGAGUUCAAAUGGAAGAGUCGAUAAGAUACGAUCGAUUUAUUUGAAUUGAAAUAAAACGCUCGACAUUAUAGGCAGUAUAAAAUAAGGCAAAGGAGAAUCCAAAAUUACGUUUAUAAAAAUCCAAUAAUGCCGCAAGCUAAUCGAGCUCCGGAUGAACCAGUUUUAAUGCUUUCUUCGGUUCCUCCACGACCAAAGUCAUCUGGUUUUGCAUGUAUCACCAAUGCUCUUCCUACGGCACCACGAACUCCAACCAAACUCAGAUAGCGAUCCAUACCAUUGAUUUGUGCUACUCCAUCAGGGCCGACCUCGAUGUUACCCAAAUCUCCGACAUGCCGUAACGGAUCGUUUGGUGCUCCGUGAUUUACCUAUAUAUCAUAUAUGUACGCAUGUAUGUAUAUGAAAUAUUGUAUGGCACGAAAUUAAAGAAAAAAAGAAAAAAGAAAAACAAAAUGUUUACAUAUAUUACCAUGUAAGGGUUAAAGUGCGGUCCAGCAGAAUCACACCCUUCUCUAAGAUCACCCUUUUCAUGUACAUGGAAUCCAUGCAUACCCGGACUCAAACCUGUUAUAGUCCCAAUUAUUUUAACUCCAUCGGCUUGUUGUUCCAGUGUCAACCUUCCUUUAGGACCUUCUAUUGGCAAUCCAUCUUUCCCGAGUGCUCUCAUCUCAACCACUGCUUUCAAUCCUAUUACCUGCAUAUUUCGAUAGAAUUUAAUAAUAGAAAAUAUUGCUAAUAAAAGAGGAGAAAGAGGACAAAGAGAGAAAGAAAUAGAUAGAUAGAUAUAUAGAUAGAUAGAGAGAUUCUUAAUACAUACAAAAAAAUAGGGUUCCAUGUAAACUUCGUACAAGUUGCUUCUACUUCCAGGAUAACCGGGAAGACUCCUUAUGAAUAGUGUCCUUUCGUUUGUGUUCAUUAUCGCUCCUUCAUAGACCUCGGCGUACGUUUUCCACGUUAGAAGGAUCAUCAUGAUCGAAAUUCUCAAUGAUUUUUGCAUCUUUUUAUGGUACACGUAUCGUUAUUAGAAAGAUUCGUUUCUCCUCGAAGACGGAUAACGUCUGCUGGGUUUACUCUCUUGACUUCUAUUUAUGGGUUACGUCACCGACGAGUCACGACGAGGACAAGACCGGAUUAUGGUGCUGGAAGGCACUUGCACCACGUAUAUAAAUAUCCGUAGGAUAUAUGUAAGUAUACAUACAUUUGUACUAUUGGUUACUGGUAAACGCAUUAAUACAUGGACAUUUAUAUUUCUGUAUAGUUAUAAGAUUUAUCUUCAUAAUAUAAUGUAAUAAUUCACCAAAUGGAAUUAGUUUUAGUUAUUAAAUUUGAUGCUACCACGCGUUGGUUUGAACUAUAUUUCCUAUUAUGUAGUAAUUUUCUUUACACAAUUGUAACGUUUGAGAAGUUUAAUCGAUAACAGUGAGAGAGAAACGAGCUCUUUGUUUCUUUGAACCGAUUCUGAAUUAAUCGCCAUAAGUAUAAAGCAAAACAAUUCGAUUCGUGUAUUCAUAUAUAAAAAU